rnacentral:rRNA from 1 species
UCCGUGUACUGCGGAGACAUUAAGAUUCUGGGCCCUUACCUGCCCAUUCUAUUCAGCUGUGCGCUUCGGCUGCACGCUGGAUGCAACACCUCACACCUGUGCACCAUUUCGGUUGCGGCUUUGGCCGCUGCCGCUUCAAAUGCAACCACUCAGUCUCGAAUGUCAACAAAACUAUAAAAAGUAACAACUUUCAACAACGGAUCUCUUGGCUCUCGCAUCGAUGAAGAACGCAGCGAAAUGCGAUAAGUAAUGUGAAUUGCAGAAUUCAGUGAAUCAUCGAAUCUUUGAACGCAUCUUGCGCUCCUUGGUAUUCCAUGGAGCAUGCCUGUUUGAGUGUCACGUAAACCCUCACCCUUGCGAUGUAACAGUUGCACUGCGGUGGACUUGGACUGUGCCGUAACCGGCUCGUCUUGAAAUGCAUUAGCUGGCGCUUUUAGAGUGCUGGGCGACGGUGUGAUAAUUAUCUGCGCCAAUGCCCUGGGCCUCUUCAGCGGUGCUGCUUACAGUCGUCCCUCUGAGGACAACUAAUAUCUAAAGCUUUGGCCUCAAAUCAGGUAGGACUACCCGCUGAACUUAAGCAUAUCAA